rnacentral:rRNA from 1 species
CCUACGGGGGGCUGCAGUAAGGAAUAUUGGACAAUGGACGAAAGUCUGAUCCAGCCAUGCCGCGUGAAGGAUUAAGGUCCUCUGGAUUGUAAACUUCUUUUAUAUGGGGCGAAAAAAGGGCAUUCUUGCUCACUUGACGGUACCAUAUGAAUAAGCACCGGCUAACUCCGUGCCAGCAGCCGCGGUAAUACGGAGGGUGCAAGCGUUAUCCGGAUUUACUGGGUUUAAAGGGUGUAGAGGCUGCUAGGUUGAAAGCCUGGAGCUUAACUCCAGAACUGCCAUUGAUACUAUCUAUCUUGAAUAUUGUGGAGGUUUGCGGAAUAUGUCAUGUAGCGGUGAAAUGCUUAGAUAUGACAUGGAACACCUAUUGCGAAGGCAGCAGGCUACACAUAUAUUGACGCUGAGGCACGAAAGCGUGGGGAUCAAACAGGAUUAGAUACCCCUGUAGUC